rnacentral:rRNA from 1 species
UACGUAGGGUGCAAGCGUUAAUCGGAAUUACUGGGCGUAAAGGGCUCGUAGGCGGCCAACUAAGUCGGAUGUGAAAUCCCCAAGCUUAACUUGGGAACUGCAUCCGAUACUGGAUGGCUUGAAUCCGGGAGAGGGAUGCAGAAUUCCAGGUGUAGCGGUGAAAUGCGUAGAUAUCUGGAGGAAUACCGGUGGCGAAGGCGGCAUCCUGGACCGGCAUUGACGCUGAGGAGCGAAAGCUAGGGGAGCAAACGGG